AUUGAACGCUGGCGGCAGGCCUAACACAUGCAAGUCGAACGAGUGGCGGACGGGUGAGUAAUGUCUGGGAAACUGCCUGAUGGAGGGGGAUAACUACUGGAAACGGUAGCUAAUACCGCAUACCAUCAGCUGUGCCCAGAUGGGCUUAGCUGGUUGGUGGGGUAACGGCUAACCAAGGCGACGAUCCCUAGCUGGUCUGAGAGGAUGACCAUCCCCACUGGAACGGAGACACGGUCCAGACUCCACCAUGAACCAGAAUUAAAUAAUAUUGCACAGUAGGCGCAAGCCUGAUCCAGCCAUGCCGCGUGUAUGAAGAAUUCCUUCGGGUUCUAAAGUACUUUCAGCGGGGAGGCGUUACCCGCAGAAGAAGCACCGGCUAACUCCGUGCCAGCCGCCGCGGUAAUUC
rnacentral:rRNA from 1 species